rnacentral:rRNA from 1 species
CUACGGGGGGCAGCAGUGAGGAAUAUUGCACAAUGGGGGGAACCCUGAUGCAGCAACGCCGCGUGGAGGAUGACGCAUUUCGGUGUGUAAACUCCUUUUAUAUGUCAAGAAAAUGACGGUAGCAUGUGAAUAAGCACCGGCUAACUCCGUGCCAGCAGCCGCGGUAAUACGGAGGGUGCAAGCGUUACUCGGAAUCACUGGGCGUAAAGGACGCGUAGGCGGGUUGGAAAGUCAGGUGUGAAAUCCUACAGCUUAACUGUAGAACUGCACUUGAAACUUCUAACCUAGAGUAUGGGAGGGGGAGAUGGAAUUAGUGGUGUAGGGGUAAAAUCCGUAGAUAUCACUAGGAAUACCUAAAGCGAAGGCGAUCCCCUGGAACAUUACUGACGCUAAGGCGUGAAAGCGUGGGGAGCAAACAGGAUUAGAUACCCCCGUAGUC